AUUGAACGCUGGCGGCAUGCUUUACACAUGCGAGUCGAACGGCAGCGCGGGCUUCGGCCUGGCGGCGAGUGGCGAACGGGGGAGUAAUGCAUCGGAACGUGCCCAGUAGUGGGGGAUAGCCCGGCGAAAGCGGGAUUAAUACCGCAUACGACCUGAGGGUGAAAGCGGGGGACCGAAAGGCCUCGCGCUAUUGGAGCGGCCGAUGUCGGAUUAGCUAGUUGGUGGGGUAAAGGCUUACCAAGGCGACGAUCCGUAGCUGGUCUGAGAGGACGACCAGCCACACUGGAACUGAGACACGGCCCAGACUCCUGCGGGAGGCCGCAGUGGGGAAUUUUGGACAAUGGGGGCAAGCCUGAUCCAGCCAUGCCGCGUGCGGGAAGAAGGCCUUCGGGUUGUAAACCGCUUUUGUUCGGGAAGAAAUCCUCUGGGCUAAUACCCCGGGGGGAUGACGGUACCGGAAGAAUAAGCACCGGCUAACUACGUG
rnacentral:rRNA from 1 species